rnacentral:lncRNA from 1 species
CUGGAAGCUCAGGGCCAGCACAGGAGGCAAACUCAGAGAGCAUGUUCUGAAGUCAGACAGUCAAGAGAAUCUCUUUGUUGCCUAGACCUGUGCCCCUGCCACAGAGCCUCGCAGGGACUGGUCACCUGCCGUGUGCUGGCUGCUGCUGAGUCACUCUUCUGGAAGCUGGGGCAGAGGUGGCCAAGAUGUCGACUGAGAUCUCCACUCGGGGCAGACAGCGUGCCAUUGGGCAUGAGGAAUACAGCCUGUACAGCAGCUUGAGUGAGGAGGAGCUGGUCCAGAUGGCCAUUGAGCAGAGCCUGGCAGACAAGACUCGGGGCCCAACCCCUGCUGAGACCUCUGUGUCCUCUCAGACCAACCACCAGCCAGGCCAUAUCCACCCAUGGACCAGGUCACUUUUAAUUCCAAACACAAAUGCUCCAUGACUAACAAUGUUACAACCAGCAAGAAAGACGGUCGGUACGGCUCGGUGCAAACGGGUUUUUC